rnacentral:rRNA from 1 species
ACACGUAGGAACCGAGCGUUGUCCGGAUUUACUGGGCGUAAAGGGCGAGUAGGCGGCCUGCUAAGUCUCAUGUGAAAUCUCCCGGCUUAACUGGGAGGGGUCAUGGGAUACUGGCAAGCUUGAGGGCAGUAGAGGAAAGUGGAAUUCCCGGAGUAGUGGUGGAAUGCGUAGAUACCGGGAGGAACACCAGUGGCGAAAGCGACUUUCUGGGCUGCACCUGACGCUGAGGCGCGAAAGCAUGGGGAGCAAACCGGAUUAGAAACCCCGGUAGUCC